GACAGCUUGAGUCUGAAUCAGAUGACAGAAUGACUGGACAAUGUUUGUUCUGCUCUGGACGUUGCUAAGGGAGAGGCUGCAGCUGCCAUAGACCCGAGUGUUAAGCCCACACUUGCUUCUUUUGUAGCCUCUGGAGCAUAAAAAAGCCAUUAUUACUGUGUAAAACUUCAGAAGAUCUUUCUCAAGAUAUGUAGGGAAACUGAUUAUACACUUCAACGCACUUCCUGAAAAUCAUCUCUAUUGGGGAAGAGUGGUGCUUACUGCAGUUCAUGAAGAGUGAGGCCUUCUAAAGCCUUUAGCGGGAGAUAAGUGCCUGGAAAACAAAGAGGAAACAAAGGAAGACCUAAAGCCAAGGCCCCUGAAUGAGGAGAACUCAGCCUGCUUCACCUGAAGCACCUCUGCAGGAAGAGCUAGGACAAAAAUCAGUGGCUGCAUUUUGACACAAGCAGACUCUUCAAGCUGCCCUACUGUGAUGACAGAAAGCUUCUGAAGGAAGAAGACACUGAGAUUCCAGAGGAACUCAUUAUGCCAGAAGCCAAAGGGAGAUUGUGUGAGUUCACCAAGAGUCUGGAAUAAGACUGUAAAUUACUGACUUCAAAACUAC
ensembl:lncRNA